UACGGAGGAUCCGAGCGUUAUCCGGAUUUAUUGGGUUUAAAGGGUGCGUAGGUGUGCCUGUAAGUCAGUGGUGAAAGUUUGCAGCUUAACUGUAAAAUUGCCGUUGAAACUGCCGGUCUUGAGUGCAAAUGAGGUAAGCGGAAUGUGUUGUGUAGCGGUGAAAUGCUUAGAUAUGACACAGAACACCGAUUGCGAAGGCAGCUUACUGGGAUGCCACUGACACUGAGGCACGAAAGCGCGGGUAUCAAACAGGAUUAGA
rnacentral:rRNA from 1 species